UACGUAGGGUGCGAGCGUUGUCCGGAAUUAUUGGGCGUAAAGAGCUCGUAGGCGGUGUGUCGCGUCGGCCGUGAAAACCUGGGGCUCAACUCUGGCGUGCGGUCGAUACAGGCAUCACUUGAGUUCGGCAGGGGAGACUGGAAUUCCUGGUGUAGCGGUGAAAUGACGCAGAUAUCAGGAAGAACACCGGUGGCGAAGGCGGGUCUCUGGGCCGAUAUUGACGCUGAGGAGCGAAAGCGUGGGGAGCGAACAGG
rnacentral:rRNA from 1 species